AGGGUUUGAUCCUGGCUCAGAAUGAACGUUGGCGGCGUGGAUUAGGCAUGCAAGUCGAACGGACCAAGAGUAGCAAUACUUUUGGUUAGUGGCGAAAGGGAGAGGAACACGUGGGUACCUACCCCCGGGUCUGGGAUAGCUAGGCGAAAGCUUAGGUAAUACCAGAUAACGUCUCCGGACCAAAGGUGUGAUUCCACCUGGGGAGGGGCCCGCGUCCUAUUAGCUAGUUGGCAGGGUAACGGCCUACCAAGGCGAUUAUGGGUACGAGGUGUGAGAGCACGACCUCGCUCACUGGGACUGAGAUACUGCCCAGACACCUACGGGUGGCUGCAGUCAGAAUCUUCCGCAAUGGGCGCAAGCCUGACGGAGCGACGCCGCGUGUGGGAUGAAGGCCUCCGGGUUGUAAACCACUGUCGUAGGGGAGGAAAUGCCGGAGGGUACUCUCUCCGGUUUGACCUAUCCUAGGAGGAAGGACGGGCUAAGUUCGUGCCAGCAGCCGCGGUAAGACGAACCGUCCGAACGUUAUUCGGAAUUACUGGGCUUAAAGGGUGCGUAGGCGGCGCGGAAAGUCGGGUGUGAAAUCCCUCGGCUCAACCGAGGAAUGGCGCUCGAAACUACCGUGCUCGAGGAAGGCAGAGGUGAGCGGAACUCAGGGUGGAGCGGUGAAAUGCGUUGAUAUCCUGAGGAACACCGGUGGCGAAAGCGGCUCACUGGGCCUUUUCUGACGCUGAUGCACGAAAGCUAGGGGAGCAAACGGGAUUAGAUACCCCGGUAGUCCUAGCCGUAAACGAUGAGCACUUGGUUGGAGAUCCCUCCAUAGGUUUCCGGCCGUAGCGAAAGUGGUAAGUGCUCCGCCUGGGGAGUAUGGCCGCAAGGCUGAAACUCAAAGGAAUUGACGGGGGCUCACACAAGCGGUGGAGGAUGUGGCUUAAUUCGAGCCUACGCGAAAAACCUUAUCCUAGUCUUGACAUGCACGGAUUAACUCGUCGAAAGGCGAGCCACACUAGCAAGAGUGGAACGUGCACAGGUGCUGCAUGGCUGUCGUCAGCUCGUGUCGUGAGAUGUCGCGUUAAGUCGCUUAACGAGCGAAACCCUUGUCCUUAGUUGCCAGCGGGUAAAGCCGGGGACUCUAAGGAGACUGCCGGUGUUAAACCGGAGGAAGGUGGGGAUGACGUCAAGUCCUCAUGGCCUUUAUGACUAGGGCUGCACACGUCCUACAAUGGCGCGCACAAAGGGAUGCAAACUCGUGAGAGCCAGCCAAUCCCAAAAAAACGCGCCUCAGUUCGGAUUGCAGGCUGCAACCCGCCUGCAUGAAGCUGGAAUCGCUAGUAAUCGCGGAUCAGCAUGCCGCGGUGAAUGUGUUCCUGAGCCUUGUACACACCGCCCGUCAAGCCACGAAAGUGGGGGGCAUCCGAAGUCGCCGUGCCAACCGCAAGGGAGCAGGCGCCGAAGGUGAACUCCGCGAUUGGGACUAAGUCGAAACAAGGUA
rnacentral:rRNA from 1 species